UGACCCCAAGGUGCCAGGCGGCCUCGUGGCUUCUCGGGUCUAGCCGCCAUGCACCCGCCCAACCACCAGCGCCUGCCUGCCACCCCAGCAGGCCAACUUCUUGGGGCGUUCCAACGCGGCGCCCCCUG
rfam:Procavia capensis cont1.176516, whole genome shotgun sequence.